rnacentral:tRNA from 1 species
GUCUGGGUGGCUCAGUCGGUUAAGCGUCUGACUUCGGGUCAGGCCACGAUCUCACAUCAUGGUUUGUGGGUUCAAGCCCCGCAUCAGGCU